GGAUUUUAUUGUUCACCUAACAAUAGUUAAACUUUUCAGUUUUCUCUUUCUUCAACCCCUCUCUUCUCUCUCUCAUUACGCGAAAUUGUUCUCUUGGUUUUCUGUGUUCUUAGUCGGAUCUCAUCCCUUAGGAGUUCUUAGUCGAAUCUCAUCUCAUUAGCUAGCUUAAUCUUUAUGUAUCUUCUUAGUCUAUCAAUUAAUGAUAUCUUCCAUACGCUCUCUCGUCCUAUCCCCUUUGACGAUGAAAACAAGGGAGAGCCCAUUUAAGAAGUUUCCAUGAGAAGAGCUUAACUUUUGGCGCACAAGGCAUAGUCCAUACACUGUUCUUCCAUUUGAAACCCACUGCAGUAGGUGGGAGUUCUCUGGUUUCAUCAUUGUUAACUGCAGUGUAGUAGCCGGACUUGGUAGAAUACUCACCCAACUUUUUACCUAACCAAACAAGCUAAUCCGGAGUCCGGAGUCUGGUAGGAUGCGUCUGAUUUUCGCUACAUCCCAUUCCCCUGUUGCAGGGAGCAUUAGCUCGGAGACAGAGAGAACGAGGUGUUGCUCGUUUGGAGGGCCCAUUGGUCGCUGUUGUCCGGUUAAGCUCAGCCAAGGAUCGUCCCAGAUGCUGAUUGAUUCUCCAUUUCCUACAGUCGAGCUGAGGUUUUUAGCCAAAAUAUCUCUUCCCAAGAGAAUGCUUCUCCAUCCAUGUGAUAUCGAAGAGGUCUUUGUAGCGUGUAGAAUAUUGUUGUCCGGGCAGUAUUUGCCAAACAAGACCCUACCGAGGAGGCAUUGCGGGUUUUGGAGAAGCCUCCAGCUAAUUUUGACUAACAAGGAGACAUUGAAGUUUUGGAAGUCCUGCAGACCUAGGCCUCCUAGUGCUUUCGGUUUUGCCAUGCUGUCCCAGGAGACCCACGCCAUCUUUCUCGAGUUCUCAUUAUGAUCCCACCAGUAGCAUGUCACUGCGUAUUGAAUCCGCUUGCAGAGCGAAACUGGCAGGCUGAAGCAAGACAUGGGGUAUGAGGGAAUGGCUGAGAGGACACUUUGAAGCAUGACAAGUUUGCCCGCUGCAGAGAGGAAUUUGUUGGUCCAUCUCCUCGCUUUCUGCUUAAUCCGUUCUACAAUUAAGGAGAAGAGAUCCCUCUUACGCCUCCCAAAGUGUUCGGGCAAGCCCAAGUAUUUCCCCACACCACUUUCACUUUGGAUCUGCAGCACAUCUUUAUCCAUUGUUUUCAGCGAUACUGGCGCUUUCCGGGAAAAGGUGAUAGCAGAUUUGUCUUUAUUUAUUGACUGUCCAGACGCGUGUUCGUAUUUGCUCAAAUUGGACUUGAGGGCUGCACAAUUCUCUUUAUCGGCUUGGAGGAAGAACAUUGUAUCGUCCGCAAAGAAGAGGUGAGUUAGUCGAGGACUGCCUCUAGCCACUUUCAAACCUUGAAGUAGGCCUUCUUCUUGCACUUUGUUACAUAAUCCCGAGAAGACCUCACUACACAUAAUGAAUAUGUAGGGAGAAAGAGGGUCAUCUUGACGGAUUCCUCUACUUGAUACUAUCUUUCCUUUAGACAAGCUAUUAAUGAGGAAGGAAUAUUUAACAGAAGUGAUACAAUGCAUUAUGCAUCUGAUCAAGUUUUGGUGGAAUCCCAAUCGGUUUAAAACUAA